rnacentral:rRNA from 1 species
GUCUAUGGUCAUGCCACCCUGAACAAGCCUAAUGUCUGAUCUCAGAAGCUAAACGGGGUUGGGCCUGGUUAGUACUUGGAUGGGAGACCACCUAGGAAGACCAAGUGCUGUAGGCA